rnacentral:lncRNA from 1 species
GAUAGAAGGUGAGGCAACUUAAAAAGGAAAAAUUUAGGUGGAAAGGGCAUCUACACCUGCCACUACUUGGAAAACCAGGAAGCGUCCCAAUCGCAGCUUCACCCACCCCUCCUGCAUCUACAUAUUACUUGACUGUGUUGACAGCCUCAUGGCAUGCAGAGGGGAUAGGCGCAAACAUCCUUCUCAACCUAGUAAUAUAGCCGGAUUGCUACAGUCAUGAAGAACAGACAUAAGGAGAGACAUUGGAGCAAAUCCAAAUCUAUACAUGACUUGCUCGACUAACCAUAAAGGUAAAAUGAUAAGUUGACACUAUAGAAUAUAUUACUUAACAAUAACAAUUCGCUUUUUUUAGAACAUUUUUAUAACAAUGGCAUUCAAGCCAAUUAGCAGGCACCUCGUGCCUGGUAAAAUAACACUUGCCACUUGCACACAAAAGAGAGUUAUUUGAUAAUGUUGAGAAGGAUCACAAGAGAACUUUGCAAGAUUAUUUGGCAAAUAUAACAAUAAGGGUGGACUCACAACUACUCUUUCCCGGUCUCUCUACAUGUGUGUACUCUAUAAAUGACUCAAAAUAAACAAGAGACACACAGUCACACACAUUAUGCACCAGAGAUAGACCCCCCCCCCCCCCCCCCAAAAACCNNNNNNNNNNNNNNNNNNNNNNNNNNNNNNNNNNNNNNNNNNNNNNNNNNNNNNNNNNNNNNNNNNNNNNNNNNNNNNNNNNNNNNNNNNNNNNNNNNNNNNNNNNNNNNNNNNNNNNNNNNNNNNNNNNNNNNNNNNNNNNNNNNCACCCCAAAAAACCCCCCCCCCCCCUCUUCCCAAAACACAACACAUAUAAUUAUGGAACGAAAGAUGUUUGAUUCCAAACAGGAAGAAUCUAAUUAUAAGUAAAUAGAGAAUAUUAUUAAUAAUUUUUAUAUCUUUCACUAUGAGCCAAAAAUUAAAACAAAUGGAUAUUGCACAAAAGCUUGCCACAUCUGUACUAUGCCAAAGCAGCUAAUAUAUAUGUAGGGAGAACAUGGACAGUAAAAAGCUGCAUAAGAAAAGGUCAACCAUUUUGCCACUGGAAAAAUUAUAUCAUCAGUCAAAUGCUUCACUUUGAACUCAUUAUAGGUGGAGAAGUACACAAUGAAUGGAAUGGUUCAAAAAUUGCUAUAGAAGACCAACAAGUCUUAGUGAAGCUAGUCCAUUAAUUAGAUAGUUCAACUGUGCUAUCUGUAAUAAGAAAAAACCUGGAGUGGAGGACUCAAAGUUAGAAACAGGCUGCUUAGUUUGGCCCCUUUACUUUGUAUAUAUUUAUUGGUAUAGUGUACAACAUAUGAUGCCAAAUGUGCAACUAAAGAAUCAAAAUACAUACUACUCUCUUAUCAUAAUAAUCCGUGAACUAGUUAUGUUUACAUGUAUGAUAAUUACAUGAAGUCUGAGAAGACCAUUUUGAGCUGACCAUAUCAGAAGCAAAAAAAAAACAACAAGAUAUAGUGAAGAAUGAAUGCAAGAUUGUCACAUACACUUACUUGUCUAUAACACAAAGCGUAGUAUUUUGUGGGUCGUUGAAUUUCUGAAAGACACUCUUGACAAAGGCAUCUUCAUCUCCUUGGCGGAACUCAACCUGCAUCACACUCUUAUUAAACAUUCUCAAACUGGGAGAAGGCAAAUAAGCUAAGCUCUUGUUAUCACGAAUAUCUAAAAGUUGGGAAGUGGGGUCAUCACGAAGCUUUGCAAAUGCCUCAACGGCUGAGAUGAACUUAUACUUUUGCAAGUACUCUUCUGCUAAUGGUAUAACAACAAGCCAGAUAAAGGUAACCCCAGCAACAAAGAAUGGAUACUUGGUGAAAAAAUCAUCAAUAGAGACCAAUAUUGCUUCUAAGUUGAGUUUAGUUGAAGUGGGUAUUGUAGUUUCAGAGGAGGCAAAGGAAGUAAGAGGAAAAGAAAGAGUCAUAGAAAGAAAAGAUAAGUAGAAUUUGGGAGAGAUAAGAUGAAUUGGGGUUUCAGUUUGUAAAACGGGAGAGAGAUUUCUGGUUUUAGGGGAAUUCAAUUGGAUUGAAUUGCAGAGGAGGGUGGGAGAACAUCUGAAUUUGGGAGAGGAUGUGAGGGAUUGUGGGUGUUUUUUGACAAGUAAACAAGUUGAAAUGCCUAUAGAAAGAGACUCCAUCAUCAGAUAAAGAAGCAAAAGAUGUUUGAGAUUUCCCAAGGAAGAGAGACGAUAAGAUGUGCCGCCAUUUAUAACGCCAAAUUUAUUUGUUCCGUCUAUUUUAACAUACAUUUAAUUUGACAGCAUAUAAAACAUUUUUAAAUUUUGUGAUUUUAAAUUAAAUAUAUGUCAAAUAUAUCAAAAUAUUUUUAAAUUUUAUGAUUUUAAAUAGGUCAUACGAAAAUUUGAAAUGAAUAAUUAAUUAAAAAAAUUAUUUUUUUCUAGACAGACUAAAAAUAUUAAAUAAAUUAAAACCGAAUACAAGAAACUAUUAAAGUCCUAAAUAGUAAAGAUGACUAACUAUGUAUAUCAUCAUAUGACUGAAAUAUAAAAAACUAAUAGCAGUCUCCUAAAUAAAAGGAUAAUAUUAUCUGUUAAUAACCCCCCCACCCCCCGCAAGUUGGGGGUGACUGGACAAGACCCAACUUGUGAAAAGGGCGCUGAAAAGUUGUACGGGAAAGAGGCUUGGUGAGGACAUGAAUUACAGAGGGAAGGUGACAAACCUCAAGUGCCUUCUGUUGAACUUGCUCACGAACAAAAUGAAAGUCAAUGACUAUAUGCUUCAUCCUAUUAUGAAAAACAAGAUUAGCACAAAUGUAGGUGGUGCUAGCAUUGUCACAGAAAACAGUUGGUGAAGCAGACAACGAUAGAUGUAAAAAGAAAAAAAAUUGUAUAUCUAAAAAGUCAAGUUAUGGUGUCAAGAGUCGUGAAUCUAAAAAUCGAUUCUCACACUUAAUUCCCUUUAUACCAAAAAUAUCCAUCAUGGGAGAAACCAUUGGCGUUAGUAGAUCCAAAAGCUCUGAGCCUUCCAAGAUGGUUGAAGGAAACCAUCCCUAUUUUCUCACUCCUUUAGAUUCACCUGGAAUGAAUCUCAAAAACAUCAACUUCAACGGAGCCAAUUAUGAAAAUUAGAAGAGGGGUACUAAUCUCUCUUUCUAUUAAAAAUAAAUUGGAUUUUAUUAAUGGAACAUGUAAGAGGCCUGAAGAAGACACGCCUUUGUUUGAUCAAUGGCGGAGGUGUAAGGACAUGGUGUUGGCAUGGCUUAUAAACUCCCUUAGUAAAGAAAUAGCGGCAUAUGUGAUCUAUUCUCAAACAACAGAGGACUGUUGGAAUGAACUUGAACAAAUGUAUGGACAAACAAAUGGUACCAAGAUAUUCCAAUUAUAGAGAGAGCUGAACAACAUAUCUCAAGAAACCAAUGAUGUCGCUAGGACUUCAACAGAUUGAAGAAAAUUUGGGACCAAACAACGGUACUUAAUACUUUUAUGAUAUGCAUUGUGAUUGUAAUUGUGGUGCAAAAACGCACAAUGUAAAGAAAAACGAAGAUCAACAGUUGAUCUAGUUACUUAUAGAACUGAAUGAAAACUAUUGUGGCAUAAGGGGAAACAUACUCAUGAUGAAGUUGUUCCUACUACAACACAUACAUACUCAAUUAUAUUACACGAGGAGACUUAGAGGGGAGUAAAUUCUGCAAAUCAGGUUAACAUUAAUGUUGAAUCUAUUUCUUUUAUGCCAACCAACAAAGAUGGAUUGGAAACAAAGGAAACAAUCAAAAUUUUAGCUACGCUAACACAUAUAUUAAGAGGAACACCAUUUUUGCUCUUAUUCUAAGAAGUCGAGACCCACAAAGGAGAAGUGUUAUAAACUAGUUGAAUAUCCACGAUCCUUCAAGUUUACUAUGCCAAAAAGAGUCUAUGGAAGUGGGCAAGAGUGUUAUAAACUAGUUGGAUAUCCACAAUCCUUCAAGUUUACUAAGACAAAAAGAGUCUAUCGAAGUGGGCAAGCAAAUGCAGGUAUCAUAGAAGAAGGAAAUAUCACACAGACUGCUGGGGAUAAUGAACCUAGAGGUCUAGGUCUAGAGGGAUUCACGAAGACCAAUGUAAAAAAAUGAUCCAUAUGCUAUUAUGCAGGUGGGAAAUUCAGGUCCUAAGGCGAAUCCUAGUGCCAACUCUGUGGGUAAAUGCUCAAUCUCUAAUGUCUUUGACUGUUGUUUUACUACUAUUGGUACCAACCUCUGGAUAAUAGACUUAGGGGAUUCUCAACACAUGACUCAUGAAAAAAAUCUCCUAUAUAACAUUAAACGCUUAGAAAAUUCAAUCUUAAUAAAGCUAUCAAAUUCAUAUAAAGUCACAUUUUUCAUUGUUGGUUCGAUAACUUUUAAUUUUGAUAUUGAACAACAAAAUGUGCUCUAAUAACUGAUGAGUCCACGAUUUGGACUCAUUUAAGGAUUUAUUUUAAUAGAUUUAGUAUCCUCAAAUGCAUAUUUUGUGCCAAUAACUGAUAUAAAUCCUUGAAUUUCAGGUAUUUGGAUUGAGGCACAAAGCAUGGACACUAAUAAGCAAAAAAGGAACAAAGCAG